rnacentral:misc_RNA from 1 species
AUGCAUUACCGACGCAGUCUUAUGCACAACACAAACACUAAAUCUUUCUUUAUCGUUACAACGUUGAUUUUUAAAAUUAACGAGACUUUCUUUUCGUUGAAUCUCUGUAUUCGUUAAUUAUGCUGGUGAUUCUGUUAUCUGUUUGGGUUCUUACACUGGUUCAAGGUCAGACCCCUUCGCCGCCUUUCCCCGCCCCUAGCUGUUCAAUCUAAACCAAACCCGGACAAUGCAGCCUACAAAUGGGUUCUUUUUGCGACUGCGAUCAAAACAAUGUGAGAUGUAGCCACGAUGGAGAAUGUCCCGGAAACUUCAAGUGCUGUUCAUGGGGUUGUGGAUGCAGAGCUAUGUGUGCUCCUCCUGGGGUUACUGAGUGGCCAAUUGACCCACCUUUAUCUUCCCUCCGCUGUGAGCUGCCAGUAGUAUCUGGACCUUGCAAAGCACGAAUUCCACGUUAUCCUUUUAACAGAAGAACUACGCGAUGCUAGACUUUUUUCUACGGAGGAUGCUGCGAAGUCGCAAACAAAUUCGAGACCUUGGCUGCAUGUAUCAGCGCUUGUCCGACGAUUUCUUACAAUUAAGCCUUAGUUUAAUAAAACGCAGCUCU